AAGGGCCAGCGGAAAAACCGCUGCAUUGCCGGCCCUAGUUCCAUCCCUACCAAUAUCCUUGUGUGUCUGAUUUCUGCCGUAUGUCGUCGUGAAUCGUGAGAAGGGCAGCACAAAACAAGAAGGGACUGGCGAUCGUCAACGGAAUGGUUCCUAUGAAAACCAAACGUUAAUCGUAUAUGCCUAGAACCACGCCCAUCUGUUGUCGAUUGGAGAACUCAAUACGCACCCAUCGAUUUCAAAUGCCAUUAUAACUUUUCUUAAUCGUCGAUCUCCUCGAUAAGAAGUAAGAACAAUUUCUGUCUAAAUAUGAUAUUUUGCUUUCAAAUUCCCACUUAUCAAUCUAUUACAUAGCUCUCAAAGUGUUUAUGAGACGAUUUUUGAUUUUUAAAUACAUUGAUUUCAUUAAUUUCAAGUUCUGAUUGCCCUAUUUCUUGACUUCAAACCACCUGCUUGCUGUUUGUUGGGAAGCCCUUCAAUAUUCUUAAAGUUCAACUUUUUUGAAAAUGCACCUUGCGAAUUGUGUCACUAUUAGAACAGGUCUUUUUCUUGAUUGUAAUCUGGGCAGUUGUGUGGGGGAUGUAAUUAAUCAACGAAGCAACUCAUCGGCUAAAGCUCUAUCUUUUUCCCUAUUUCAUUCUAUCUUUUCCCUUAUAUUCUUUAAGUUUUGGAGAUGAAAUUGAAUUUUCUUUUGUUUGCAAAUAUAUUGAUCUGCAUUUUCAUAUGUUUGCAAAAACUAUGGUAGUCAAUCUGACUUGAGAAUUGCUGCAUUAAGAACAUCAUCUUUGUGUUUUCAUUACUCAUGGGUGAAUAAUUGAGAUAUUAUAUAUUGGUUUUAACUUUUAAUGGUAAAUUUGAAUAUACCCUGCUGCUAUCUUUUGCUGGUUUUUGAUUUAAGAUUUUUCAACCAAAUGAUACGGUUUAACAUAUAACAUAACUUUCUUCAUGUUCAUGAAUAAAUGACUGCUGAAUUUCUAUUAUCAAAUGUCAUUUUCCUUUUUUUUUUUAUGAUAUUGAUUUGAUGUUGAUUGGUUUGAUAAUUUCAAAUCUCGUUUUGCUCACAUUGUCAAAUCUUAUAUUAGAAAGAUCCAAAACAUAUAUCUGUCUAUCUAAGGAGAUGGGGUUAGACUAAUGAGUUUGAUUAACCUCAAUUUCAGGGACAAAUUUUUUUCUAAUUUGAUAGUUCAAUGUCUUCCUUCUAUUUUGAUAUUUCAAACAUGAUUAAGUUGAGUUUGACUAAUGUGGUCUUUCUAAGGAGAUGAGGUUAGACUAAUGAGUUUGAUUAACCUCAAUUUCAGGGACAAAUUUUUUUCUAAUUUGAUAGUUCAAUGUCUUCCUUCUAUUUUGAUAUUUCAAACAUGAUUAAGUUGUACACUUUGAAGAUCGUGGAAAGGUAAGAAAUCCAUGAUCGAUUUCUUCUAUGAUGAGGCAUGGUUAGGUUUUAUGAUCCUUAAAUAGAAGUAAAGUUGUAUACAACAAUCAACAUUUGGUAUUUAGUCUUAUUGUGAUUUUUAGUUUCUAUAAAUAUGAUUUUUUUUAAAUAAAAAAGUGUGUUCAGUUUUGUUUUAUGAAUUUCUUUUAUAUAGUUUUGGUACAUAUGUAAGGGCAUCCUAAAGCCUUUUGGCCUGGGGCAUAAAAACGUAUGGACUGGCCCUGAGUGCAACGGUUUUUGUAUGUGAUUUUACACCAAAAAGACCAAAUCUAGAGUCAGAUCCUACCAAAUAUCAUUUUUUUUUAUUUUCACCACAAAAGUAAAAAUAAACCUUUCAGAUAAACCAUUAAGGGCUAAAUGCUUAAUAUAACAAUUAACUUUCUAUUUUUUUUCCCUUAUCAUAACAUCGUGGUUAUGUUUUUCUUAUUAUAGCAUUGUACUUUGUAAAACCAACCCAUUUAUAGCAAUGGGUAACCACCUACAUGUACAUGUCAUUCCAUUAUUUGUUUUGCUGACAUGACACAUUUAAGGAUGACAAGGUGGAUAGACAUCCUAUGUGGACAAUGAUAUUACAUAAAAACUUAUCACCUUGUGCCAUGUCAUUAUAUUUCAAAUUAGCAGGUUCUUCGUUGCUAUAAUUAAUGUUUUUUUUUUGAAAUACACUUACCUUGUAAAAAAAUUGGGAGUGUCAAAGUACAAUGUUAUAAUCAUCUACGAAGUGUUUUUUUUUGUUUAUCCACAGCUAUAAAUUUACAGCAUGUGCUAUUGACAUACCUCUCAAGUUUACAACAUUCCAAAAG
rnacentral:lncRNA from 1 species